UAGGGAAUCUUCGGCAAUGGGGGGAACCCUGACCGAGCAACGCCGCGCGAGUGAAGAAGGUUUUCGGAUCGUAAAGCUCUGUUGUUAAGGAAGAACGAGUGUGAGAAUGGAAAGUUCAUACUGUGACGGUACUUAACCAGAAAGGGACGGCUAACUACGUGCCAGCAGCCGCGGUAAUACGUAGGUCCCGAGCGUUGUCCGGAUUUAUUGGGCGUAAAGCGAGCGCAGGCGGUUAGAAAAGUCUGAAGUGAAAGGCAGUGGCUCAACCAUUGUAGGCUUUGGACACUGUUUAACUUGAGUGCAGAAGGGGAGAGUGAAAUUCCAUGUGUAGCGGUGAAAUGCGUAGAUAUAUGGAGGAACACCGGUGGCGAAAGCGGCUCUCUGGUCUGUAACUGACGCUGGGGCUCGAAAGCGUGGGGAGCGAACAGG
rnacentral:rRNA from 1 species